UACGGAGGGGGCGAGCGUUAUUCGGAAUCAUUGGGCGUAAAGGGCGCGUAGGCGGCCCCGUAAGUCUUGGGUGAAAGCCCUCGGCUCAACCGAGGAAUUGCCUUGGAUACUGCGGGGCUCGAGGCUGGAAGAGGGCAGUGGAAUUCCCGGUGUAGCGGUGAAAUGCGUAGAUAUCGAGAGGAACACCUGCGGCGAAGGCGGGUUGCUGGGCUGACACUGACGCUGAGGCGCGAAAGCUAGGGGAGCGAACGGG
rnacentral:rRNA from 1 species